AUUGAACGCUGGCGGCAUGCCUUACACAUGCAAGUCGAACGGCAGCGCGGGAGCAAUCCUGUCGGCGAGUGGCGAACGGGUGAGUAAUACAUCGGAACGUGCCCAAUCGUGGGGGAUAACGCAGCGAAAUCUGUGCUCAUACCGCAUACGAUCUACGGAUGAAAGCAGGGGAUCGCAAGACCUUGCGCGCAUGGAGCGUCCGAUGGCAGAUUAGGUAGUUGGUGAGGUAAAGGCUCACCAAGCCUUCGAUCUGUAGCUGGUCUGAGAGGACGACCAGCCACACUGGGACUGAGACACGGCCCAGACUCCUACGGGAGGCAGCAGUGGGGAAUAUUGGACAAUGGGCGAAAGCCUGAUCCAGCCAUGCCGCGUGCAGGAUGAAGGCCUUCGGGUUGUAAACUGCUUUUGUACGGAACGAAACGGUCUUUUCUAAUAAAGAAGGCUAAUGACGGUACCGUAAGAAUAAGCACCGGCUAACUACGUG
rnacentral:rRNA from 1 species